UAGUGUUAACAGUGCUUUUAGAAUUUGUCUAACAGGUUGUCCUGACCAUUCCGGAAGAACGCCCCC
rnacentral:snRNA from 1 species